UUAAGUGACUAAGCGUACAAGGUGGAUGCCUUGGCAAUCAGAGGCGAUGAAGGACGUGCUAAUCUGCGAUAAGCUUGGAUGAGUCGAUAAGAGGCGUUUAAUCCAAGAUGUCCGAAUGGGGAAACCCAGUAGAUGAAGAAUCUACUAUCACUUACUGAAUACAUAGGUAAGUGAGGCAAACCGGGAGAACUGAAACAUCUAAGUACCCCGAGGAAAAGAAAUCAACCGAGAUUUCGUUAGUAGCGGCGAGCGAACGCGAAGGAGCCUGUUAGUGAUAAUGACAGAGACAGAGGAACAAGCUGGGAAGCUUGGCGAUACAGGGUGAUAGCCCCGUACUCGAAGUCCAGGUCAUGGUACUAAGCUAACGACAAGUAGGGCGGGACACGUGAUAUCCUGUUUGAAGAUGGGGGGACCAUCCUCCAAGGCUAAAUACUCCUGAUUGACCGAUAGUGAACCAGUACUGUGAAGGAAAGGCGAAAAGAACCCCGGUGAGGGGAGUGAAAUAGAACCUGAAACCUUGUACGUACAAGCAGUGGGAGCCCUUUUGGGGUGACUGCGUACCUUUUGUAUAAUGGGUCAGCGACUUAUAUUUUGUAGCGAGGUUAACCGAAUAGGGGAGCCGAAGGGAAACCGAGUCUUAACUGGGCGUUUAGUUGCAAGGUAUAGACCCGAAACCCGGUGAUCUAGCCAUGGGCAGGUUGAAGGUUGGGUAACACUAACUGGAGGACCGAACCGACUAAUGUUGAAAAAUUAGCGGAUGACCUGUGGCUGGGGGUGAAAGGCCAAUCAAACCGGGAGAUAGCUGGUUCUCCCCGAAAUCUAUUUAGGUAGAGCCUUGAGCGGACACCUUCGGGGGUAGAGCACUGUUUCGGCUAGGGGUCCAUCCCGGAUUACCAACCCGAUGCAAACUACGAAUACCGAAGAGUGAUACUCAGGAGACACACGGCGGGUGCUAACGUCCGUCGUGGAGAGGGAAACAACCCAGACCGCCAGCUAAGGUCCCAAAGUCUAUAUUAAGUGGGAAACGAAGUGGGAAGGCUUAGACAGCUAGGAUGUUGGCUUAGAAGCAGCCAUCAUUUAAAGAAAGCGUAAUAGCUCACUAGUCGAGUCGGCCUGCGCGGAAGAUGUAACGGGGCUCAAAUAUAGCACCGAAGCUGCGGCAUCAGACGAAAGUCUGUUGGGUAGGGGAGCGUUCUGUAAGCGGAUGAAGGUGAAUCGAGAGGUUUGCUGGACGUAUCAGAAGUGCGAAUGCUGACAUAAGUAACGAUAAAACGGGUGAAAAACCCGUUCGCCGGAAGACCAAGGGUUCCUGUCCAACGUUAAUCGGGGCAGGGUGAGUCGGCCCCUAAGGCGAGGCUGAAAAGCGUAGUCGAUGGGAAACGGGUUAAUAUUCCCGUACUUGGAUAAACUGCGAUGUGGGGACGGAGCAGGUUAGGUUAUCGCACUGUUGGAUAUGUGCGUUUAAGUUGGUAGGUGGGAAGUUUAGGCAAAUCCGGACUUCUUUAACACUGAGAGAUGAUGACGAGGCUCUACGGAGCUGAAGUAACCGAUACCACACUUCCAGGAAAAGCCACUAAGCUUCAGGUUUAUCUAAACCGUACUGAAAACCGACACAGGUGGUCAGGUAGAGAAUACUCAGGCGCUUGAGAGAACUCGGGUGAAGGAACUAGGCAAAAUAGCACCGUAACUUCGGGAGAAGGUGCGCCGGCGUAGAUUGUAGUCCCUUGCGGACGAAGGUUGAACCGGUCGAAGAUACCAGCUGGCUGCAACUGUUUAUUAAAAACACAGCACUCUGCAAACACGAAAGUGGACGUAUAGGGUGUGAUGCCUGCCCGGUGCUGGAAGGUUAAUUGAUGGUGUAAUCGAAAGAGAAGCUCCUGAUCGAAGCCCCAGUAAACGGCGGCCGUAACUAUAACGGUCCUAAGGUAGCGAAAUUCCUUGUCGGGU
rnacentral:rRNA from 1 species